AUUAAUUCGAUGCAACGCGAAGAACCUACCAAGGCUUGACAUGCACCUGAAAAGGCUGGAAACAGUCUCCUCGCAAGACAGGUGCACAGGUGGUGCAUGGUUGUCGUCAGCUCGUGUCGUGAGAUGUUGGGUUAAGUCCCGCAACGAGCGCAACCCUCGUUCUAUGUUGCCAGCGCGUUAUGGCGGGAACUCAUAGGAGACUGCCGGGGUCAACUCGGAGGAAGGUGGGGAUGACGUCAAAUCAUCAUGCCCCUUAUGUCUUGGGCUUCACGCAUGCUACAAUGGCCGGUACAAAGGGCUGCAAUACCGUAAGGUGGAGCGAAUCCCAAAAAGCCGGUCUCAGUUCGGAUUGAGGUCUGCAACUCGACCUCAUGAAGUCGGAGUCGCUAGUAAUCGCAGAUCAGCAACGCUG
rnacentral:rRNA from 1 species